GUAGGGCGCGAGCGUUGUCCGGAAUUAUUGGGCGUAAAGAGCUUGUAGGCGGUUUGUCGCGUCUGCUGUGAAAGGCCGGGGCUUAACCCCGUGUAUUGCAGUGGGUACGGGCAGACUAGAGUGCAGUAGGGGAGACUGGAACUCCUGGUGUAGCGGUGGAAUGCGCAGAUAUCAGGAAGAACACCGAUGGCGAAGGCAGGUCUCUGGGCUGUAACUGACGCUGAGAAGCGAAAGCAUGGGGAGCGAACAGGAUUAGAUACCCUGGUAGUCCAUGCCGUAAACGUUGGGCACUAGGUGUGGGGGACAUUCCACGUUUUCCGCGCCGUAGCUAACGCAUUAAGUGCCCCGCCUGGGGAGUACGGCCGCAAGGCUA
rnacentral:rRNA from 1 species